ensembl:lncRNA
CGAAAUUUUUAAAAUGCUUUGAUUUUCAUUUUAUAUUUAGAAUAACAAAAAAAUAAAAUCAGUAAGAGACAGAAACGGAAAAAAAGUCAGUUUUUUUCAUUUUCUGAGACCGGAAGUGGUCAUCAGCAAGUGUGGAGCCAAACGACAACAAGAUUCUCAGAGGGCGGAGCCAGAGAGCAGUGAUUGGUCAGACCAUAGAUAAUAUAGAAGACAGUGCGCUAGCAUAUCUAGUCUAUUUAUAUCUAUGGUCGGUACGUCUGGUAGCAUCUCUGGCUGCUGUUUGGAGUAAAACACGGUGGAAGCUGAAUUAGUGAGGAUGACUCCUGCUCCUGUCAUCUCUAAGCUCCUCACACAUCUUUACCUGCACAUGAGGAAAAUCACUCCUGUAGAAUGCAGAUGUUCAGAGGGAGAUGAUGCCACAUCUGGUCCAGCUGAUGGAAGGUCUUGAAGUUCUCUGACUGGCCUCGACUGAAGAUGGUCGUCUCACUGGAUUUAAGGUUCAGAUGCUCAGUAACAAACUCCACCAAUGUGCCAACAGGGAAGCUUUAGGUUUAUUAAAUGUUGCUAUGAAGGUUUCGCUGUUUUUCUUUGUGAAUGCAAUGUGCUCCAACUGAAACUUGAAUUAGAACUUAGAAGUAAAUCCUUCCAUAUGAAAUGGUUUAGUUGCAUUAAUAACCUCAUAACAUUCUAAUUUUUAUUCCAGUCUUGGUUGGAAAUAGAAUCUCUGUAUUGAUUCAGGUAAAAACUGAACUUCACAGCAUGUUGGAGCAAAACAACCAGAUGAAAACUGUGAUGGUGUUGGAUUGUCAGACCGUAAUGUUGCAGCUCAAAGCAGCUUUUCUAGCUCAGUUCAUUCUGACAUUCAGCUAUGAAUCAACACAGCAGAUGGUGAUCCAUGCUGUGGAAGUCUCACAUCUCCUGAUUUAAUGGAGCUGCUUUGCACUUUUUACACUGUUUAUUCACCAACACUUUAUUUAAUAAAAGUCCCAUCUAGUUUUUAUGAGGAAUGUGAUGUUUUAAUUUCUCUGUGAAUAACUGCAGUCUAAUGCAACAGCUGGAGUUGUAACAUCUGUCCUGAUAUUGAUCAUGAAGUAUUGAUCAGAAUACUUAUGGUUAGCAGUCAUCCCUGAAGUUUUACAUUAAAAUCUUUACUUGUGUUGUGAACUUUGGUAAGAAGCAGAAACUUUAGUGUUGCCAUGGAUAUAUGAGUGUUAAAUUCAGUCCAUGUUUCUGUUUUGGGAAAUUCAGUCCAGUUCCAGAAUGUGGAGGAAUUUAGUCUCACAAUCACAGACAACAAAUAUUAUCUGAAAGUCGGGUUAUUGUUGUUUAUCAGCACAAUACAAAAAGAUUAAUGUUAGAAAUAUUCCAGUUAAGACUCUAGAAUAUCAUGAUUUAUGUAAAUUUACCUCAAUAAUAUGAAUGUUCAGGUUAAGAUUGUACAGUGAUAUUUAUUAUGUAAGUUUAGCUGAUUAAAGUUUAUGACUCUGCACUAAAAUAUUAUUUAAAUUGACAUCAUUAUUAUAAUAUUUAGGGUCAGACCCUACAGUAUUGAGAUUAAGAAAUCAAAUAUUCUAUAAAAUGUAAAUACAUUGAAUUCAUUUGGAUAUAUUUAAGUGAGACUCUACAAUAUUGUUUAUGACACAAAUCUAUCUGAAUCAAAAUUUUAAUAAUUUUCACACCAAACAUUUACUGGACUGAUUUAAAUAUUAAAAUCACUUCUUUCUAAUCCUCUGCUAUACGUUCAAACCUGAGGCCUUAAAUAGAAACACACAAGUAUCUGAUUGAAGGAACUUCUGUAGAGUCCUGGUUCCAGAACAUGAUGAUAGAAUUAUAGACAAACUUUAACAAAAGCUGCCUGAGAGUUUACAGGUUUUUAUGUUGGAUUUCUUCAGUAAUUUAAUGAGAGUUAUCAGCAAUAAUCAAGUGUUCAUUUGAUGAACUUGAUUUCCUAAAACAUCCAGAAUUGGAGCUCAUAUCUUUGGCAGCUGUAAAGUUUCUGCUCCUUCAAAGUUCACAACACAAUGAAUGAAUUCCUAAAACACUCUCAAUGCUGGAGAGCGUUUGUGAUGCUGAAGCAGUGAUCAGUUUUUCUGUUUCUUCUCUGGAGAUGCACAAUGAGGGACGUCUGCAGAGACUGAGAAAGAGUCUCACCACAUCCUGACAUGAGGAAAAAGACUUUAUUGAAGACUACAAUGAGAAAAACUAUCAGACAGCAGACGGCUGCAUUCAAGUUCAGGCUGUUAGAAUGUUCCAGAUAAGACAAGUACAAGAUUCUUCAGAGCCGUUCUACCACGAGCCUGACAGGAAGAACUCCAACAGCUACUGAAUGUUCCUGUGGUCCCCUCAAGGCUACAGGAGGAGCCCUACGAGGAUGAGCCGGUCCACCUGAUGGCGGCCAGUCGCUGCGGUUCAAAGCCAACACCGACUACGUGGACUUCUACUGGACCACAUGGAGGCCUUCAAACCGGACCAACAAGUUCACCGACUCCCCGACUCGUGGGUCUGAGGACGCCGCCGAGCCUCGGUCCAGCCGGCCUCCUGUCUGUGGGUGUUUGAGUGCUGAGAGGUUUGUGGAUGCAUGUGAACAUGUCUGUGUUGAAACAGCAGCUUUUGACUCACUAACGCUGGUAAAAACCAAGAGCUCCUUUAUUUGUGACUUCCACUAAAAAACUGAUGAAAAUAAGUUUGCCAGGGUUCUGACUGAUAACGGAUUAUUAAAUAAUGAAAAUAAUCAUUUAAAUAUUCCUUUAAACAAUCCUUUUAGGUCUACAUUGGAGGAUUUUAGGUGGAAUUUUCUUCCAAACCAUCUUUUAGUCUACAUUUAAGGAUGUUUAGGAUGGUAUAUUCUUCCGAACCAACUUCUCAGGUCUACAUUUCAGGUGGAAUA